GAUGAACGCUGGCGGCGUGCCUAAUACAUGCAAGUCGAGCGAACAGACGAGGAGCUUGCUCCUCUGACGUUAGCGGCAGACGGGUGAGUAACACGUGGAUAACCUACCUAUAAGACUGGGAUAACUUCGGGAAACCGGAGCUAAUACCGGAUAACAUGUUGAACCGCAUGGUUCAACAGUGAAAGACGGUUUUGCUGUCACUUAUAGAUGGUUCCGCGCCGCAUUAGCUAGUUGGUAAGGUAACGGCUUACCAAGGCAACGAUGCGUAGCCGACCUGAGAGGGUGAUCGGCAACACUGGAACUGAGACACGGUCCAGACGCCUACGGGAGGCAGCAGUAGGGAAUCUUCCGCAAUGGGCGAAAGCAUGACGGAGCAACGCCGCGUGAGUGAAGAAGGUCUUCGGAUCGUAAAACUCUGUUAUUAGGGAAGAACAAAUGUGUAAGUAACUAUGCACGUCUUGACGGUACCUAAUCAGAAAGCCACGGCUAACUACGUG
rnacentral:rRNA from 1 species